rnacentral:misc_RNA from 1 species
UCCGAGUUGACCCCGGCAGUCUCCCAUGAGUCCCCGGCAUAACCCGCUGGCAACAUGGGACGAGGGUUGCGCUCGUUGCGGGACUUAACCCAACAUCUCACGACACGAGCUGACGACAACCAUGCACCACCUGUGCACCGACCUUGCGGGGCACCCAUCUCUGAGUGUUUCCGGUGCAUGUCAAGCCUUGGUAAGGUUCUUCGCGUUGCAUCGAAUUAAUCCGCAUGCUCCGCCGCUUGUGCGGGCCCCCGUCAAUUCCUUUGAGUUUUAGCCUUGCGGCCGUACUCCCCAGGCGGGGCACUUAAUGCGUUAGCUGCGGCACAGAAACAGUGGAACUGUCCCCACACCUAGUGCCCAACGUUUACGGCAUGGACUAC